GUUUGGUUUUUCAAUAAGAAUACUAUCAAAAUACUGUCAAUACUCUCUAGUGAUAGUACAUCUUUAAAUCAGCAAUGUGUGGACCAUAUUUCACUAACAUCACAUCUGCUUCAAAUUUAGAAUCUCCAAGAAUCAAAAUUCUUGCAAUUGUACAAAUUGGGGCAAAAUGAAUGAUCCUAGAUGAAUUCCAAACCCUGCAGCCUAAAC